CCCAGGAGGUCUUGGAGUUUGCCUACAUGGCCCUAGCACUCAGCAUCACUCUGGGGGACCGGCUGAACGAACGCGUGGACUACCACCGGCUGGCAGCCCUGCACCACCGGUUGGGCCAUGGCAAGCUGGCGGAGCACUUCUACCUCAAGGCCCUGUAGCUCUGCAACUUGCCCCUGGAGUUUGACGAGGAGACCCUCUACUACGUGAAGGUGUACCUGGUGCUCGGUGACAUCAUCUUCUACGACCUGAAGGACCCGUUUGAUGCAGCCGGGUACUACCAGCUGGCACUGGCAGCUGCCGUGGACCUGGGCAACAAGAAGGCACGGCUGAAGAUCUACACGUGGCCGGCCACCAUCUCCCACAACUUCCUCCUGGACCGCGAGAAGUCGAUCCUCUUCUACCAGAAGGCCAGGACCUUCGCCACAGAACUCAACAUCCGCAGGGUCAACCUACCUCCUCUGCCACUCUGCGGGUGGGCCCCCUGGUUGACCCUCAGC